rnacentral:rRNA from 1 species
AUUGAACGCUGGCGGCAGGCCUAACACAUGCAAGUAGAGCGAGCGGCGGACGGGGGAGUAAUGUAUGGGGACUGCCCGAUCGAGGGGGAUAACUACUGGAAACGGUAGCUACUACCGCAUACUAUCGGAUAACCCAUAUGGGAUUAGCUAGUAGGUGAGGUAAUGGCUCACCUAGGCGACGAUCCCUAGCUGGUCUGUGAGGAUGAUCAGGCACACUAGAAGUUGGACACGGACCAGACUCCGACGGAGGCAACGGUGGGGAAUAUUGGACAAUGGGCACAAGCCUGAUGCAACCAUGCCGCGGGUGUGAAGAAGGCCUUCGAGUUGUAAAGCACUUUCAGCGAGGAGGCAUUGCUCGCAGAAGAAGCACCGGCGAACUCCGUACCAGCAGCCGCGGUAAUUC